rnacentral:lncRNA from 1 species
UGGUUACUUUCUUAUAUGCAAUGAAAUGUAGUGUGAAAUUUUCACUGUAUCACUGGAAAGGAUUAAACUUUACACAUGCAAAGUAUUUCUUUGGUUGAAAUAAAGGUAAAUACUGUACGAUUUUUUUUAAAAGUGCCAAUUUAACAAAGACUAAUAGGGAAAAAUCAAUGGUGGUAUUACACCUAUUUAGGGAAACUACAUGUGCACUCGUGACCUUAUUGUACUUUCAUUUUUAAAAGUUAUUAAUAAACCAGUUCAUACAUUGUAAACAUGGACUAUUCGGAAUGGAUUUUACACAGAGAAUAAACACGGACAAUGAUGGAUUUGAAUAAAAUGGAAUGCACGUUUGAGGUUAAAUUGCCUUGAAAUGGGGGUUUACGGGUGUUUUCUUAGUCAAAUGGGUGGACAGACAAAGCUGUAUUUAGUUUACUGUGUUAAAUUUUAAAAUUACCCUUACAGUUUUUUUUUGUUUAUACAACAUGUGAAUUUUUUAUUUCAGUGUUAACCAUGUUCUGAAGAGCAUUCUGUUGAAAAAUCUUAUAUGUGAAUUGGUCUGCAGAUGACACUUCAGCAUUAAAGUAAGUAUCAACUAUCAUCAUGUUUUUUUGUUUUUUUUGGCCGCAAAAGUUUACAAUUUGCCAUUGUGCCGUCUACAUUUUGCACAGACAAUAAAUCAUCUAAACACUUAUUUGCCCUGGAUUUAUACACAUCAGAAUCCAGUCUCACAUACUUAAACUUUAUAAUUCUUACCAAUUAUUUUUUGUACCAGCAUUCCAAGGGACAUAACCCUUUUUAAAAACAUUUUGAGGUAUUUUUUUAUUACUCUUUCUCCCCAUUUUCUAAUGUAAAAUACAAGAAAGUGGACUUUUUGUGUAAAUCUAUUAGAAAUAUACUGUUAUGAGUAAAUAAAAAGACUUUGAUACCAGUAACAAUAAAUGAUUGACUGAAAGGGAACCGUUAUUUGUCACACUAGGCGAACAGACCAAAAACUCGAGUUACACAUAAGGGCUUAUAGAAACUUCCGUGUAGACUGUUAACAUUUAUAGAGACAGUUCUUUCAGCUAAAACACUUUAAUUAUUGAUUUAACAUUACAUUUAUUUCAUUUUUGUGGGAAAAUAAUCACAUUUGUUUUAUUUUUUAGACAAAAGAUAUCAAGUUUUGAUGAAAAAGGAAGGAAGGAGGAAAAAUGGACCAA